rnacentral:sRNA from 1 species
CAGGUUUGAAAUUCUACUUUGUUCAAUAUGCUGGGUCGGAAAUGGAUUUUUCGAUGUGUUGCAACGAUACCAUGUGACAACAAUGAUAACCAGCAGCACAGGAGCAAAACCCUCAUUGACGACGUUUUCACCCAUAAUCAACUAUCUUCAACUUCUUCUCAUCAAUGUGACAUCAAAGACUUUGCAUUGGAGUAACCAGUCCAAUCAGCAGGCCUGCCUUUCAUGUAUCCUCAGCCAUGAGCUCAUUCAAUGCCCCUAAGGCCUGACAACAAUGGAGCAGUGCAGCCAACGAAAUUCCUAGAGCUCUACAAUUAAAAGCCACUUUAAUGGAAUUCUCUCAUGCCUCUAUGUUUUUAU